UCGGGACAUGGCAAAGACGAAAAGUGUGGCACCUUUUAUUCUAGCUUACUUCAGAGGCUUUGUUGGAUGGUUGUUGAGUGAUGGUGAAAAAACCGAAAACUGGAAGGUAGAUAAGUUUUUGAAAUUCAUGCACUGGAUACAGUCUCUGCGGUUCUCUUUGUCAGACUCUACCAAAGUUAUAAGAUGUGUGCUAGAAGUUUGGAAGCAGAAUUUCAAAACCAUUAAA